rnacentral:rRNA from 1 species
CAGCAGCCACGGGAAUACGGAGGAUCCAAGCGUUAUCCGGAAUCAUUGGGUUUAAAGGGUCCGUAGGCGGUCUUGUAAGUCAGUGGUGAAAGCCCAUCGCUCAACGGUGGAACGGCCAUUGAUACUGCAGGACUUGAAUUAUUGGGAAGUAACUAGAAUAUGUAGUGUAGCGGUGAAAUGCUUAGAGAUUACAUGGAAUACCAAUUGCGAAGGCAGGUUACUACCAAUUGAUUGACGCUGAUGGACGAAAGCGUGGGUAGCGAACAGGAUUAGAUACCCCCGUAGUCCCUGUCUCUUAUAC